rnacentral:rRNA from 1 species
CGCGGGAUUCGGGGGCACGGGGGGACGGGGCGCAGCAGGCGCGAAACCUCCUCAAUGCACUAACGUGCGAAGGGGUUACCUCGAGUGCUAUCUGAAAAAGGUGGCUUUUCCUUGGUCUAAAACGCCUUGGGAAUAAGAGGGGGGCAAGACUGGUGUCAGCCGCCGCGGUAACACCAGCCCCUCGAGUGGUGGGGAUGAUUAUUUGGCCUAAAGCGUCCGUAGCCGGCCGGAUAAGUUUCCCGUUAAAUCCAACGUCUCAAGCGUUGGACUGCGGGAAAUACUGCCUGGCUAGAGAGUGGGAGAGGUCAGCGGUAUUCUGGGGGUAGGGGCGAAAUCCUUUGAUCCCCGGAGGACCACCAGUGGCGAAGGCUGCUGACUAGAACACGUCUGACGGUCAGGGACGAAAGCUGGGGUAGCGAACCGGAUUAGAUACCCGGGUAGUCUCAGCCGUAAACGAUGCAUGCUAGGUGUUGGGUUGGCCACGAGCCACCCCAGUGCCGCAGGGAAGCCGUUAAGCAUGCCGCCUGGGAAGUACGAUCGCAAGAUUGAAACUUAAAGGAAUUGGCGGGGGAGCACCACCAGGCGUGAAGCCUGCGGUUUAAUUGGAGUCAACGCCGGGAACCUUACCGGAAGCGACAGCAGAGUGAAGGUCAGAUUGAAGAUCUUGCCAGACGAGCUGAGAGGAGGUGCAUGGCCGUCGCCAGUUCGUGCCGUGAGGUGUUCUCUUAAGUGAGAUAACGAACGAGACCCACGCCACAUGUUGCCAUCAGAAUCUAAAUGAUUGCUGGGCACUCUUGUGGGACCGCAGCCGAUAAGGCUGAGGAAGGGGUGGGCAACGGCAGGUCAGUAUGCCCCGAAUCUUCCGGGCCACACGCGGGCUGCAAUGGUAUGGACAGAGGGCUGCCACCCCGAGAGGGGGAGCCAAUCCCUAAACCAUACCUCAGUUGGGAUUGAGGGCUGCAACCCGCCCUCAUGAACAUGGAAUGCCUAGUAACUGCCAGUCAUCAUCUGGCGGUGAAUACGUCUCUGCUCCUUGCACGAAUUCGCCGAAUCACUAGU